GGUGAUUAGCUCAGCUGGGAGAGCACCUCCCUUACAAGGAGGGGGUCGUC
rnacentral:tRNA from 1 species